rnacentral:rRNA from 1 species
AGUGAACGCUAGCGAUAUGCUUUAACACAUGGCGAGUGCGAUACGUUUAUAGAACGUUGCGUACAGGUGAGGAAGCUGUGGGUUACUACUUAAAAACUUUGGAUUUUUUUAAAUAGAGGACUUGUUUCUCUAAAACAAACAGAAAAAAAUUUUUUUCUGUUUGUUUUAAAUACCAAAUAAAAAGAGAAGUUCGGUUUUUGUAAGGGGCUCAUGGAGGAUUAGGUUGUUGGGCGGGUAAGAGCCGCCCAAGCCGAUGAUCCUUGGCCGGGUCUGGGAGGAUGGUCGGUCACACCGGGACUGUAAAAGGCCCGGACUUUUUUUAAAGGCUGCAGUUGAGGAAUAUUGGACAAUGGGCAAAAGCUUGAUCCAGCAAUAUCGCGUAGGUGAAGAAGGUCAAUUGGUUGUUAAAGCCUUUCGUAUAGUGAAAAUUAUGUUGUUAGCUAUAUAAGAAGUUCCUGGCUAACUUCGUGCCAGCAGCCGCAGUAACAC